rnacentral:rRNA from 1 species
AGUGCAUCUAAGUCCGGAUUGGAGUCUGCAACUCGACUCCAUGAAGUCGGAAUCGCUAGUAAUCGCGAAUCAGAAUGUCGCGGUGAAUACGUUCCCGGGCCUUGUACACACCGCCCGUCACACCAUGGGAGUGGGUUGUACCAGAAGUAGAUAGCUUAACUGAAAGGGGGCGUUUACCACGGUAUGAUUCAUGACUGGGGUGAAGUCGUAACAAGGUAACCGUAGGGGAACCUGCGGUUGGAUCACCUCCUUA